GAUGAACGCUGGCGGCGUGCCUAAUACAUGCAAGUCGAGCGAACGGACGAGAAGCUUGCUUCUCUGAUGUUAGCGGCGGACGGGUGAGUAACACGUGGAUAACCUACCUAUAAGACUGGGAUAACUUCGGGAAACCGGAGCUAAUACCGGAUAAUAUUUUGAACCGCAUGGUUCAAAAGUGAAAGACGAUCUUGCUGUCACUUAUAGAUGGAUCCGCGCUGCAUUAGCUAGUUGGUAAGGUAACGGCUUACCAAGGCAACGAUGCAUAGCCGACCUGAGAGGGUGAUCGGCCACACUGGAACUGAGACACGGUCCAGACUCCUACGGGAGGCAGCAGUAGGGAAUCUUCCGCAAUGGGCGAAAGCCUGACGGAGCAACGCCGCGUGAGUGAUGAAGGUCUUCGGAUCGUAAAACUCUGUUAUUAGGGAAGAACAUAUGUGUAAGUAACUGUGCACAUCUUGACGGUACCUAAUCAGAAAGCCACGGCUAACUACGUGCCAGCAGCCGCGGUAAUACGUAGGUGGCAAGCGUUAUCCGGAAUUAUUGGGCGUAAAGCGCGCGUAGGCGGUUUUUUAAGUCUGAUGUGAAAGCCCACGGCUCAACCGUGGAGGGUCAUUGGAAACUGGAAAACUUGAGUGCAGAAGAGGAAAGUGGAAUUCCAUGUGUAGCGGUGAAAUGCGCAGAGAUAUGGAGGAACACCAGUGGCGAAGGCGACUUUCUGGUCUGUAACUGACGCUGAUGUGCGAAAGCGUGGGGAUCAAACAGGAUUAGAUACCCUGGUAGUCCACGCCGUAAACGAUGAGUGCUAAGUGUUAGGGGGUUUCCGCCCCUUAGUGCUGCAGCUAACGCAUUAAGCACUCCGCCUGGGGAGUACGACCGCAAGGUUGAAACUCAAAGGAAUUGACGGGGACCCGCACAAGCGGUGGAGCAUGUGGUUUAAUUCGAAGCAACGCGAAGAACCUUACCAAAUCUUGACAUCCUUUGACAACUCUAGAGAUAGAGCCUUCCCCUUCGGGGGACAAAGUGACAGGUGGUGCAUGGUUGUCGUCAGCUCGUGUCGUGAGAUGUUGGGUUAAGUCCCGCAACGAGCGCAACCCUUAAGCUUAGUUGCCAUCAUUAAGUUGGGCACUCUAAGUUGACUGCCGGUGACAAACCGGAGGAAGGUGGGGAUGACGUCAAAUCAUCAUGCCCCUUAUGAUUUGGGCUACACACGUGCUACAAUGGACAAUACAAAGGGCAGCGAAACCGCGAGGUCAAGCAAAUCCCAUAAAGUUGUUCUCAGUUCGGAUUGUAGUCUGCAACUCGACUACAUGAAGCUGGAAUCGCUAGUAAUCGUAGAUCAGCAUGCUACGGUGAAUACGUUCCCGGGUCU
rnacentral:rRNA from 1 species